ensembl:lncRNA
UCCUUGAAAAAAAAGUAACAGGAAACAUGGAAAUGUCGUGUCUUAAUAUUUAGCUUCUUCUUCCUUCAUCUGAUACUUUUAAUUUGCCUUUCCUCUGUCUUACGCAUUCAUUCUGCUGCUAUUCCCUAAGUAUUUAUGUGGUAGCAGAAUUUUCUCUGUAGUGUCCUCCACUGCAUUUUAGUGGUGUAUUUUCCCAUAAGUUUGACAGACAUCUCUUAACAUACCAACUACAUCAGGACAGCAGUUCUCAAAGUGAACAGCUAUCACUUCCAUAGACUGCUCAGCUGUCUAUCUUUCUAACUGCAUCUCCUUGAUGUAUCUGAAUGCAGGCAUUUAUCUCAAACUGCUGCUUUUCAGUCAUUUGUGUUGGCACACCUAGAAACCAAAAUGAAGAAAAAUAUAGGGACAGAAAAUAAUGGCAUUUCUCAGUUAGUUACAUAGUUUGAUGUAUUUAAAGAGAACUAAAGGAAAACUAAGCUUUCAAUGAAGACAGUGAGCUGGGAAGUUGGUGACUUUUUUUAGUUACUAGCUAUUAAGAAAUUAAUUUUCCCCCAGAUCUCAGAUGGUAAAAAUAAACCUUUAUUUCUCUUCCCAUUUUUAAGACAAGUUAUUUAGAAUUAUAAGCUCAGUUGGAAACUAUCUAUUGUGUGUAUGUACGGUGCCUAGAUGGGUUCUUGAUCUAGAUCAUUAUUGCUAAAUGGAGCAAAUAUAUAUUGGUCACAAAUGAAGAAAAGACACAGGUUUUCUAAAGGAUAUACUUAAAAAAAGAAGUUGUCAGAGCAUUUUUUAACAUGCUAGUAUACUUCAUAUACACAGGUCACCUGAUAUGGACCUUCAGGCCUGUGUGUUCUUUUCUCCUCAGUGUGUAAGUAGGGAGUACUUUCUGAAAUGCUUGCAUUGUGGUAUUUACAUGAGCAUACUUCAGAGAGUAGAUGGAAGGGUUACCGGAUAGCCAUUUAAAUUGCUUCCCAUGUAUUUCAAGCACUGAAUACUCUGCGAGUCAACUUCUCAUCUGAAUCCGGAUUAUGAUGUUUGGAAAUGGAUUUCUGAAAUAAAUAAAUAUGAUAAUGAUAAGGAUUUGCCCACCUGCUCUUUGUUAUCAUUUCUGCCCAGUAUUUAUACAUAAAUACAUACCAUAGACAUAUGCAUAAAACAAAUUACACUAAAAAAAAACCUUCUAGAUUGCAUCCCUGAUUUUUUUUUUACGGUGAAUAAUCAACCCAAAUUGCCAUAAAAACUGUGUGAGCAGCAAUAUUUACAUAUGCAGAUAAACAGAAGGAAUGCUUUCACCAUAACUUAGUGUUUCUAAUCCACUGUUUCCAUAGUCUUCCAUAACCUCCUGAAAUAUGUGUAGUCUGGGCCAAAGUCACUCUCAUCCUACAAUCAUCCUACAAUCCCCACUGUUCGAGGCCUUCGGCCUUGCAGCUGUUCAGGAGCAGGCACAAGGCACAGCGCAGUGUCACCAACGUGCACGUGCUGUAUGAUGAGGCUGACAAGGACCCAACACCAGCGAUCAGAGCUGGUAAUUGAGGCAUGGAAACAACAUCACACACAUAUGCGAUGUACCCACCUCUGUUCCAGUUGCCACGGGAAACCUAGCUUUGAAUUUCCUUGUGUCUCAGCGUAAAAAAAGCUGGGAGCAUGCAGCAUCAAUACAGAGGGCCUGGCUUUGCACCCCUUGGGCACAAACCUAAAUAAUACAGGUGUCGGAGUGAAAUCUUUAUGAGUGUUUACUCCUUUGGUGUUGUGCUUCGUUGCUGCUCUGUUUGAAGAGCCCUAAGUGACCCUUUAAGCUUCAAUGCAGCCAGACAAACUUUUAUCCCAGACAAUUACGAGGGAAAACACGGUAAUGUCACGCAAACGUGAUCCAGUGACUUAAUUAGAACCAAGUUAGCUGAGACAGAGAGGAGCUGUAAAUCUCUUGAGGCUGAUGGGGGAUGUUGAGGGAGGGUGAAGCCCUUGCAGCACUGCGAGAGCACGCAUGGGGGGGGGAAGAAAGAGAAGAAAAAAAGAAAAAGAAAGAGAGAGAAGGAAGGGAAAAAACCCUUUCAGCCAGAACAGAAGAGCCGAAAGAGUUAACUCGCAGCCGCAGCUCUCGCAAGGCAGCCCUCGCCAGCGGCCUGGGAAGCAGCCCGGCGCCCUCUGGUGCAGGAGAGCAGCAGCAGUGGAAAUUUCCUCUGGGAAGCAGCUUUGUUUCGAAGUUCAGACGGAUUAAAACGACCCUAAAACGUGCCGGCGGGACGGGACCGACCUCGCUCCGCACCCGGACGGGGGAGCCCCGCCCGGAGGGAUACGAAGUGUCGGUCGUCACCGCAGUUGUUGAAACCCGGGCAGCGGUACGCGAUCGGGGUGUGCGCAUUGCUCCAAGUAUGACCUCAAGAGUUGGAGAAGGAAGCACUGAUUUCCAGAAGAAAAAAACACUGCACAAGAUGACGGGCGCAUAAAGUGACCAAACUCGUGCAGGCAUAUACGGGAACAGGACGCGGCCCUGGGGGAACGACUGCUGGGUGCUUCCACAAAGAGCCGCUUUCCUUUCCCUCUCUCCGCUCAGCCCUAAUCGCACAGAGCGGGGCGGUACCUCAGCCGCAGGGACGAGACCUGCACCCUCCCGACCUCUCCGCCAACCUCCGGGGCUGCGCUUCUCGCGGGGAGCUCGGCUACCGCCGGGGGCAGCGGGACGGUGGGUCCGCUCAUCCAGGGGAGGGGAAAGAGGCUCCAAGGGAAUUAGCACCCCGAAAUAUUCCGCUUUCACUCAUGCCGCAGAUAAAUUGUUUUAUCAACGACCCAUUAGCUGCGUUAAUGACCCGUGAUAUUUAAUCACCAGCGCGCCGUGAAAAUUAUUAUUUAUUUGAAACUCCAUUGCGAUUUCCAGCCACCCUCUACUUACCGAGGGUAUAACGUGCACUGUUACAAGGAGAGCGGGAGGGCACUGGAACAGAGGCAGCCAACACAGCGCAGAGCAGCGCUACGCUGGGCUGCCAGCCCCGCUCCCGCACAGCGCUCCCCCACUGCUCGCGCGGUGCGAGACGCGGCCCGGCGGGAGGGCAGGCAGCCUUCCAGCAGGGGCCUAACCAGGGGCUUAGCAGCCUAACCUUAAAGACCGGCGUUAACCAACGAGAAGCUCUCUCCGACUUCGCUGCGUUUCUCAGCUCCCUGCCCCACGCUCCAGAGAUGACAUAAACAGAUGCGAACCCUGGAGGUGCGGGGCGUGAAAGUUAAAGCAUAAGAGCAAAGCUACGCUGCCAGAAACGCAAGGCGACGGUAGGCGCUGUUCGCGCGGCGGUGGCUGCGCUUUGCGGCGCGCUGAGAGCGCCCGUUCGUUCCCCGCGAGCGGUGCAGAUGCGGUAUUGCAGUGAGCCCCGAUCACCGCGGCCGGGGCAUCUGCAGAGCAGUCCCUGAGAAGAGCCGCCGGCGGGACGAGAGCCCUUAUAGCGCCGUCCGACUGCCCCAAGUGCUUUUACUCCGGGUCUGGCCCUUUGCAACAGCUCGGAGUCGCGCUCCGAGGCGGGCACAAAUAAAACCUCGGUCCCCGACGGUUUAACCGCGAUGUGCCCGGAAUGAGGCCCCGAGCCCUCGGACGCGGCCAAGAGCUGAGGGGGUGGCAGCAGCGAUGAUCACGGCCCGGGCACGGCCUCUGCCCAUGGGCCAGGCCCCGCCUCGCUCCCUGCGCUGAGCCGGCAGCGUGCGUGGUUCGGGGAGUCACGGCACACCUAUGGGGAAAGCGCUGCUGUGAAGGCAAGAAAGCAAAGUAAAAAUAUAUAUAUUAAAAACAAAACAAAA